GUGGGGAAUAUUGGACAAUGGGGGGAACCCUGAUCCAGCCAUGCCGCGUGUGUGAAGAAGGCCUUUUGGUUGUAAAGCACUUUAAGCGAGGAGGAGGCUACCGAGAUUAAUACUCUUGGAUAGUAGACGUUACUCGCAGAAUAAGCACCGGCUAACUCUGUGCCAGCAGCCGCGGUAAUACAGAGGGUGCAAGCGUUAAUCGGAUUUACUGGGCGUAAAGCGCGCGUAGGUGGCCAAUUAAGUCAAAUGUGAAAUCCCCGAGCUUAACUUGGGAAUUGCAUUCGAUACUGGUUGGCUAGAGUAUGGGAGAGGAUGGUAGAAUUCCAGGUGUAGCGGUGAUAUGCGUAGAGAUCUGGAGGAAUACCGAUGGCGAAGGCAGCCAUCUGGCCUAAUACUGACACUGAGGUGCGAAAGCAUGGGGAGCAAACAGGAUUAGAUACCCGGGUAGUCC
rnacentral:rRNA from 1 species